CACGUCCUUACCAAGCAAAAUUGCUCAUCGACUUCCUCUGUGAAAUUAUUCUCAUCCGCUUCUUCUGUUUUGUUUGUGUAAAUCUUUGAUGAUUUCUCAAGCUCCUCUCUUCUUUGCUCUGUCUUUCAGUUUGCCGUUUGUACAUAUGUGCACCAGCUCUUCCAAGUUUUUGCUCUUUGGGUCAUAUACAAUAAAGAAUGUUCCAUGGAUCACAAGUUAUGGAGAUAUCAUGGCAUAUUGACGACGCAUUGUUGCGAGAACAGUCAAGUUGUAGAUCCUGUUUGGAUUGACAAAAUUAAGGGAAAGUUUGCUCCAUCCAUAUCAAACAUCACCUAGGUGGACUCGAAGGUAAGUAAUAUUAGCUUGGAUCAGACUGUGUGGAAAUAAUUUGACAUAUUUUAGCUAAUAAUCAGUUCUUCCUGGAGUAUUAUGUGGACAUUGUUUUGCAUUAUCAUCGUGUAAUUAAGAAGUUUUACAUUUCAUUUGAGAUUAUAGGACUGGAGGUGCUCACUAUAGCAAUAAAAUAGUUUUCUUCUGUAACUUUCUUCAAAAAGAGGCGAAACAUGGGUAAUACGUAAUUUCAUUGUUGAGCUUUGUUUACAUAGUCCUUCCUUUUCAUAUAUUUAGUUUCAAAAAAUUCAUUUCUUGAAAAUCAUAUGACAUACUUUAGCUAAUAAUCAGUUCUUCCUGGAGUGUUGGUGCGAGUGUUAAUGGCAUACAAUAUGAGAAGGAUGUUUUCCAUCUUCGCAAUUGCUGCAUCUUGCUGUGCCAUGAUCAAAGAAUACAUCAUUCGACGUGCUUAUAUUACUUGAUUGCCAAAUAGUCAACAUGUGACCACAAGUACUCUCUUUUUGCUCAUGGCAUCAACCUAGAUGAAGUGUGUGGAUUGCAUAUGUGUUUAAGUGAAUAUUAUAGAUGUACCAAGUUUUAUCUAUUUUACUUUUUCCUAAUCAAACGAUAGAUAUCAGGAAAAAAUUAUGGAUAAGUUAAGCUCUAAAUAUAUUUUAGACUCACGUUUAAUAGAAGUUAGAUAGCCGCAUUUGAAACACACUAUAAAUUUGUCUGGAUCAUUUUUUUCUUAUCAAAUAUUCAAAACUAUAAAUGCAACUCUUAAUUGCAUCUAUACUGUGUUUUAUAGCAAUAUAAUUAAUGUUGAUUUAGCAGAGUACUAAAAGAAUAGCCUUCUGUAACAAGCUUUGGUGAUCCCCCAAUUCAAAUGGUACCUGAUAUCAUCAUACCAGGUUUGCUUGUCUCUUUUGAAUGAUCAUCUAUGCUUUUUUAGUAUUUAGCAUUUGAUAUGCUUUUAGAAAUUAGUGUUGAUAGUAGCAUUUUGCUUUACUUAUAGUAUAACCUUUGUCCGUAACACGUACUGAUUAAUUUAUAAAUUUUUGACUUAAUAUUAGACUCAAAUAAUCAAAAAGUUUCUUAGACUUGGAGUUUGUAAAUCUCUUUGUGAUAUCAUCAUCUCUCUCAAAUUCUAGAUUCGAGUAGGUGUUGCUUAUGUAAACAAUUUGAGGUUGGCUUUGUAUGUGUAAAAGGAAGAGGGAGAAUAUGUCUUGUAAAUUUGAGCAUAUGCCUUAGUUACUUUUAUUCUUUGCAAACUCUGUUUAGCUCAUAUAUUUUCGAACGUUUUGUCUAUUACGUAGCUUUUGCUAAACUUCUGGGUUAAAUGCUUUUGCUAAACUUCUUAGGUAAAAGAGUUAACUCGCUCAACUGCUGACAACAGAAAUAUAUGUGAUAUAAAGGAGAAGAUUGCUUAUAUGGCUCAUGAUUUGCUUAUAUGGCUCAUGAUUUUUGGUUUGAGCUUCAAACUGCCAACACUAGCUCCUCCACUGUAAAAAGAUGUAUUUGAUAAUUUAUUGUACAUGAUACAUUUUGUAAACAUUUGACCAAAGUAUAUCUUGAUUAUAUAUAUUCUGCCAUUUAAUAACUUUGGUGGCAUUAAUUUUUGGUACAAUUGGUCAUUGGCAUCAAGAGAAAAACCAUACUACCAUGAGACAUUUCCUUUUCUAAAACUGUGAUAAUCUAGUAGUAAAAGUUUUCUUCUCAAAUGCAGGUAGGUAAAAACAACAAGGAUAUUAAAUUUGAAGAAGAAACAGAGGAACCAAGAUUGGAAAAAAUUGUGGACUUAGGUUUGAACUUUGCAAAAGAUACAAAGUCCAAUACCGAUGAGGUUGUUGAAACAAUAUUUCAAAUAUUUAUAAAAGACGAUUACGUAAUGACUACUUUUUGAACCGUGACGAUGUAUUAGACAAUUGCUUCUCAAUACAGUUGGUUGAGAACAACAAGGGUACAUAUUUUGUUGCAGAAGAAGUGGAGCCAAAAUUGGCAAAGACUGUGGAAGACAUCAACUUGAGUUCUCCUAAAAAUGGGGAGUCCAAUGAAGUUGUCAAAUCAAAACAUAUGAACAUGGAGACAACAAACUUGACACUAUUUAAAGAUGUUGAGGAGCUAAAGUCUUAACAUAAAUUCACUGGAUGCUCAAGUAAUUGAGGCUAGUCUUCUUGUACUAUAUUUUGGUACUCUACAAUUUGAGUAUUUGGUUUUGCACUAACAACGCAUCCUACAAUAUCUGUUGAACUGGUA